GAUAAGAGAGAUUACAGUCAAGCAAGGCUUUUACCAGAAGGUGGAGCUCACAUUCAACUGAUUUCAGAACAGAGCACAUGCAAACUGAGUCAGUUAGGAGGAAACUGUUAGACCUGACUGAAAUAACUUUUUAUCUAAUUGAUGAUGUUGCUCCUUGUCCUCGUGAUAUUUUCCCUUUGUAAGGAUACUGUUGAUGCUGAAGUGAUAACAUCAUUCUUCACAAAGCAGGAUGUUUUGGCAGGAAGAGAUGUUACACUUUCCUGCAACUACAGCGGUAAUGUUCGCAGUCUGCAGUGGUACCGUCAGCAUCCCGGAUCCAAACCUGAGUUUCUGUUGCUGAUUGUUGAGUCUUCUAAUUAUGUCAUGAGAGCUGAGCAUCCUCAUCCACAUCUGUCCAUCAGACUCCGUAAUGAUGAAAGUGUGGAUCUGGAGUCGUCUUCUGCUGCUGUAUCAGACUCUGUCAGGUAUUACUGUGCCCUGCAGACCAGUGAAAGGAAAACAAACUACACUGGACAAAAACUUUAUCUUGAGGUGGAGCUCCAGGAACCAGUCUAG